GUGAGGAAUAUUGGUCAAUGGGCGCAAGCCUGAACCAGCCAUCCCGCGUGCAGGAUGACGGCCCUAUGGGUUGUAAACUGCUUUUAUACACCAAGAAAAAUCUCCACGAGUGGGGACCCGACGGUAGUGUAUGAAUAAGCAUCGGCUAACUCCGUGCCAGCAGCCGCGGUAAUACGGAGGAUGCGAGCGUUAUCCGGAUUCAUUGGGUUUAAAGGGUGCGUAGGCGGCUUUUUAAGUCAGUGGUGAAAUCCUGUCGCUUAACGAUAGAAUUGCCAUUGAUACUGAUAAGCUUGAGUACAGUUGAGGUAAGCGGAAUGUGUAGUGUAGCGGUGAAAUGCUUAGAUAUUACACAGAACACCGAUUGCGAAGGCAGCUUACUAAACUGCAACUGACGCUGAUGCACGAAAGCGUGGGGAGCGAACAGGAUUAGAAACCCUGGUAGUCC
rnacentral:rRNA from 1 species